rnacentral:rRNA from 1 species
CCUACGGGUGGCAGCAGUGGGGGAUAUUGCACAAUGGGGGAAACCCUGAUGCAGCGACGCCGCGUGGGUGAAGAAGCGCCUCGGCGCGUAAAGCCCUGUCAGCAGGGAAGAAAAUGACGGUACCUGAAGAAGAAGCCCCGGCUAACUACGUGCCAGCAGCCGCGGUAAUACGUAGGGGGCAAGCGUUAUCCGGAUUUACUGGGUGUAAAGGGGGCGCAGACGGGGAUGCAAGCCAGGAGUGAAAGCCCGGGGCCCAACCCCGGGACUGCUCUUGGAACUGCGUGGCUAGAGUGCAGGAGGGGCAGGCGGAAUGCGUGGUGUAGCGGUGAAAUGCGUAGAUAGCAGGAGGAACACCGGUGGCGAAGGCGGCCUGCUGGACUGCAACUGACGUUGAGGCCCGAAAGCGUGGGGAGCAAACAGGAUUAGAUACCCCAGUAGUC